rnacentral:rRNA from 1 species
GGCCCGCUUGCGGGUACUCGAGUGGCGAACGGGUGAGUAACACGUGGGUGAUCUGCCCUGGACUCUGGGAUAAGCCUGGGAAACUGGGUCUAAUACCGGAUAUGACCUUACAUCGCAUGGUGUUUGGUGGAAAGCUUUUGCGGUUCAGGAUGGGCCCGCGGCCUAUCAGCUUGUUGGUGGGGUAAUGGCCUACCAAGGCGACGACGGGUAGCCGACCUGAGAGGGUGAUCGGCCACACUGGGACUGAGACACGGCCCAGACUCCUACGGGAGGCAGCAGUGGGGAAUAUUGCACAAUGGGCGCAAGCCUGAUGCAGCGACGCCGCGUGAGGGAUGACGGCCUUCGGGUUGUAAACCUCUUUCACCAGGGACGAAGCGCAAGUGACGGUACCUGGAGAAGAAGCACCGGCCAACUACGUGCCAGCAGCCGCGGUAAUACGUAGGGUGCGAGCGUUGUCCGGAAUUACUGGGCGUAAAGAGCUCGUAGGCGGUUUGUCGCGUCGUCUGUGAAAUUCUGCAACUCAAUUGUAGGCGUGCAGGCGAUACGGGCAGACUUGAGUACUACAGGGGAGACUGGAAUUCCUGGUGUAGCGGUGAAAUGCGCAGAUAUCAGGAGGAACACCGGUGGCGAAGGCGGGUCUCUGGGUAGUAACUGACGCUGAGGAGCGAAAGCGUGGGUAGCGAACAGGAUUAGAUACCCUGGUAGUCCACGCCGUAAACGG